UGCUCCUAGGGUGACGAGUGGCGGACGGGUGACUAAUGUCUGGGAAACUGCCCGAUGGACGGGGAUAACUACUGGAAACGGUAGCUAAUACCGCAUAACGUCACAAGACCAGAGAUGGGGACCUUCUGGCCUCUUGCCAUCGGAUGUGCCCAAAUGGGAUUAGCUAGUAGGUGGGGUAACGGCUCGCCUAGGCGACUAUCCCUACCUGGUCUGAGAGGAUGACCAGCCACACUGGAACUGAGACACGGUCCAUACUCCUACGGGAGGCAGCAGUGGGGAAUAUUGCACAAUGGGCGCAAGCCUGAUGCAGCCAUGCCGCGUGUAUGAACAAGGCCUUCGGGUUGUAAAGUACUUUCAGCGAGGAGGAAGGUGUUGUGGUUAAUAACUGCAGCAAUUGACGUUACUCGCAAAAAAAGCACCGGCUAACUCCGUGCCAGCAGCCGCGGUAAUACGGAGGGUGCAAGCGUUAAUCGGAAUUACUGGGCGUAAAGCGCACGCAGGCGGUCUGUCAAGUCGGAUGUGAAAUCCCCGGGCUCAACCUGGGAACUGCAUCCGAAACUGGCAGGCUAAAGUCUUGUAAAGGGGGGUAUAAUUCCAGGUGUAUCGGUGAAAUGCAUAUAGAUCUGGAGGAAUACCGGUGGCGAAGGCGGCCCCCUGGACACAGACUGACGCUCACGUGCGAAAGCGUGGGGAGCAAACAGGAUUACAUACCCUGGUAGUCCACGCCGUAAACUAUGUCGACUUGUAGGUUGUGCCCUUGAUGCGUGGCUUCCCGUAGCUAACACGUUAAGUCGACCGCCUGGGGGAGUACCGCCCGCAAUGUUACAACUCGAAUUUAAUUGACGGGGGGCCCGCACCAGCCGGGGGAGCAUGUUGGUUUUAAUUCAAUGCAACAACGAAACAUCCCUUACCUACUCUUGACAUCCAAAAGUAGUUUGCCAAAAAAUGCCGAUGGUGCCUUCCAGGAAAAAUAAAAACAGGUGCUGCAUGGUUGGUCAUCAACCUCUUCUUCGUCAA
rnacentral:rRNA from 1 species